GGCUUGUGCAAGCCAGAGCCAGAGCCAGAGCCAAAGCCCAGACUGGACUGCACACAAAAGUUCGUCGUUGGCCAAGUCUUUUGAUUAGAACUUCCGCUGCUGACAGGGUACACACAUAGUCGUUAGAGUGGCUGCUCCGCUCUGGCUCUGGCUCUGGCUCUGGCUCUGCUGUCCAUUCUUGUUU
rnacentral:miRNA from 1 species